AAACUCGUGGCCACUGCUUCAACUCCAAAAUUGCAAUCGGCUAUCUUCUCUGUCGGCCAAAAUAUCGGCAACUAAACUCACCUUUUUAUAUUGAAAACGUAUUUUCGUCAAAUUCCUUUUUUGGCUGAUAUCUUUCUUCAUUAAAUAAAAAUGCUAACUUUCCAUGGUGGCAUGGUAUUUGGAUAUGACCGAUUCAAGAUAUUUGUUUUCAAUAACUUAUCGUUGAAGGAAAAAGCUUAAAUUCUUUAUUAGUAAUACGUCGAACAUUUAAAUAAAUUUAUCCAACUGUGAACUGUCAUAUGAUUCUUUGAAAUUGGUUACGUUCUCAAGUCUCUCAACAUAUAAUACGUACAUACUUAAGAAAAUUUACUGAGACGUUGUAAGAAUACUAAAAACCCAGCGGGGGGUGGGGUGGUGGUGGUUAUGGGGAAAUCGCAAACGAAAACACAAAUAGGUAUCGGUUGGAGUAUAAGACAUCUUCCCACUCGUGUACAAUGGCUGCUUUCGGUCUCUUUUUUGUCGAAUGUCUGCUGCCUGCGACCAUUUAUAUUCGUGGAUCUAACAAAUUCAAAUUGCUUCAUGAACAAGAUGAAUGUGUCCGGUUAGGAGAGUUACCCGAUGGAUCUAGCGAGGAGGAAGAGCCCGCUGCGAUAACCAAUCUCUUGCUUAGUGAACAUCCUACUACUUGCUAGAAGGUCGUAGUUUCUCCAGCAGUUCUUGGAAUGUGGGUCUCAGCUUUGUAUCGCUGCAGUGUGGGAUAAACAGAAAUACCAACGCAAAAUAAUGUCACUGUUAGCUGUGACUUAUGUUGAACAUCUAAAUCAAGGAGAACCGUGAUAAUGAAAGGUUGUAUUCUUUAGCAAGGA